rfam:Canis lupus familiaris chromosome 37, whole genome shotgun sequence.
GUGCUCACUUAGACAGCACAUAUACUAAAAUUGCAGUGAUACAGAGAAGGUUAGCAUGGCCCAUGCGCAAGGAUGACACAUAAAAUCUAUCAAGUUUGCAGAUCAAAU